UACGGGGGGGGCAAGCGUUGUUCGGAAUUACUGGGCGUAAAAGGGCUCGUAGGCGGCCAACUAAGUCAGACGUGAAAUCCCCAGGCUCAACCUGGGAACUGCGUCUGAUACUGGAUGGCUUGAAUCCGGGAGAGGGGAUGCAGAAUUCCAGGUGUAGCGGUGAAAUGCGUAGAUAUCUGGAGGAAUACCGGUGGCGAAGGCGGCAUCCUGGACCGGCAUUGACGCUGAGGAGCGAAAGCCAGGGGAGCAAACGGG
rnacentral:rRNA from 1 species